CCUACGGGAGGCAGCAGUGAGGAAUAUUGGUCAAUGGCCGAGAGGCUGAACCAGCCAAGUCGCGUGAGGGAAGACGGCCCUACGGGUUGUAAACCUCUUUUGUCGGGGAGCAAAGCGAGUCACGUGUGACUCAUUGAGAGUACCCGAAGAAAAAGCAUCGGCUAACUCCGUGCCAGCAGCCGCGGUAAUACGGAGGAUGCGAGCGUUAUCCGGAUUUAUUGGGUUUAAAGGGUGCGCAGGCGGAGGUGCAAGUCAGCGGUCAAAUUGCGGGGCUCAACCCCGUACUGCCGUUGAAACUGCAUCCCUUGAGUGCGCGAGAAGUAUGCGGAAUGCGUGGUGUAGCGGUGAAAUGCAUAGAUAUCACGCAGAACUCCGAUUGCGAAGGCAGCAUACCUGCGCGCAACUGACGCUCAUGCACGAAAGCGUGGGGAGCAAACAGGAUUAGAUACCCGUGUAGUC
rnacentral:rRNA from 1 species